rnacentral:rRNA from 1 species
UACAGGGGGUGCAAACGUUGCUCGGAAUUAUUGGGCGUAAAGCGCACGUAGGCGGUUUGCUAUGUCGGAUGUGAAAGCCCUUGGCUUAACUGAGGAAGUGCAUCCGAAACUGGCAGCUAGAGUACCAAAGAGGGUCGCGGAAUUCCCGGUGUAGAGGUGAAAUUCGUAGAUAUCGGGAGGAACGCCGGUGGCGAAGGCGGCGACCUGGGUGGAUACUGACGCUGAGGUGCGAAAGCGUGGGGAGCAAACAGG